rnacentral:rRNA from 1 species
AUGCAGUCAUUUCUUACUCAUGUGAAUGAUGGGUGGGCCACCAUCUCAUGGGUCCGGCUUGGCAGUGUAAGUAGCGUGUUUGCGUCGCCUGUGCCUUGGGUGAAAGAAACAAUAUAUGGCCGAUCGUCGGUGUGGUGGGGCUGCCAGGCGAGUGGGCGGAUUGACGCUGGUCUACCCUCACCCUCCUUCUAUGCACCCAGCUGGGUCUCUUCCUCUUCAGAAGCGUUGGGCCCACUUGUUAGCCUCUUUGGGUGGGUGUGGCACGAGGUGAGAGCUUGCGAGGUGGCCUGGUCCAUGAUUGGUGGUGUGGACGCCGGGUGGGAUACUGGGAUGCGAGCAGUAAAACCUAGCUACCAAUCCGCUCACGUCCUCGAGCCCCACGCAACUCCACUUUCUCUUCGUUUCUCUCCUCCUCGAUCUCCAGCGCAUGGCCGCCGCCGCUCAUCCUUCUCCUCUUCUCUCCCGUGCCACCAGGUUACUGGCCCCUCCACCUCGCCUUCCUUCUCUUCGUUGUCCGGUGGCCGUCGGCGGCGCCUGGAUCUGGAUCGGGUGCAGGUUAGUGAGGCCGGUGGUUGGGUGAAUCCGGGCGCGGAUCCGGUCGCUAGGCAGCAUGGGGCUGCGGAUCCGACGAGGUCACGGCGGCGGCCGCGGGUUCUCGUGGUGCUCUGCGAGAGAGAGAGAAGUGAGAGAGAGCCAUGGGAGGAGACGGAACAGAGAGGAGGGAGGGAUGCGGCAGGGCGGCGGUUGCUCCGGCCAUUAUUGUUGGCCGUGGGGAGGCGUGCUGAACCUGCUCGACCCAGUAGCGGCAGGUGCAGAGGCGCGUGCGAGGAGCGCAGUCGGUCGCCCGUCGUUCUUUCUUCGUCAAGAAGGGUGCAGCCUGCUACUCAACCCCUCUCCUUCGCUCCUUGCAGAGGUACGUCGACCUUCUUCUUCCCCGUUUACGUUGCCCCGUUGUGCUCUUGCCAUAGCUGCUCCUAA